GGAAUAUUGCACAAUGGGCGCAAGCCUGAUGCAGCAACGCCGCGUGAGGGAAGACGGUUUUCGGAUUGUAAACCUCUGUUCUUAGUGACGAAGAAGUGACGGUAGCUAAGGAGCAAGCCACGGCUAACUACGUGCCAGCAGCCGCGGUAAUACGUAGGUGGCAAGCGUUAUCCGGAAUUACUGGGUGUAAAGGGAGCGCAGGCGGGAUAGCAAGUCAGCGGUGAAAAUUAUGGGCUCAACCCAUAAACUGCCGUUGAAACUGUUAUUCUUGAGUGGAGUAGAGGCAGGCGGAAUUCCGAGUGUAGCGGUGAAAUGCGUAGAUAUUCGGAGGAACACCAGUGGCGAAGGCGGCCUGCUGGGCUCUAACUGACGCUGAGGCUCGAAAGUGUGGGGAGCAAACA
rnacentral:rRNA from 1 species